CAUUCCCCUUAAAAAAAAUUCAGCCAAAUUUUAGUUUCCCCCCACUCCUCACUUUUUCCCUCUUCCCUCUUUCUUUCUUUUUCCCUCUUCCUCUUUCUUUCUUCCAGCUAACGUUCAGCAGCCAGCCGCGUGCGACGCCGCACCACCAGCCACCUGCGACGCCGUCGACGCCAAAUAACCAGCCCCCUGCGACGGCCGAAGUCCACCAGCCACGCGUCUCCUCCAUCUUCCAACAGCCGCAAGAAACCUGGAGGAAUCAUUGCUCUUCUGGAUGAGGCGUGGAAACUGGUGCCUUUCAGGCUACCAAAAAUAAGCUGGAAAAGCAAGUUGAAGAAUUGACCUGGCGUCUACAGCUAGAGAAGCGAAUGAGGGUGGACAAGCUAAGCAUUUGACUCAACCCAAGGCUGAGAAGAAAGAGUAAGAUGAGCAUUUGGUUUUUCGCUUCUUUGCAUUAUUAUUUAAUGAUUUAAUUCAGAUUUGACUCACUUUCAUUAUAUUAUAACAUUGUAAAUGUGUGUAUGUGCUGAGACAGACUUCAAAGAAACUAUUUUGCAACAGUUUGCAAGAGGUAUGCUUCUAACUUUUAUUUUAAUACUAUGCAAAUGUUAGAGGAGUUUGAAUAUCUUAAAUAUUCAUCCAUAGUGAAGUAGGUUCUGAGAUUGUUACUGUGUGCUGCGGUGAUAACGGAAGGUUGAGAACAUGUGUGUUUUAGUAAAGUAGGAUCUGAGAAAUUUGUGUGUUGCGGAGAUAAGAAAGAAAACUUGUGUGUUGUUUGAAUUGAUGUAGACUUGCCUAUGAUCAUCCUAUAAUUGAAUUGUGUUUGUUUGAUUGGUUUGAUUAUAACAUAUACUUGUAUGAAUUUACAUAUUGCGUGUUGGCAUAUGCAUAUAGCAUAACCUUUUGUAUUUCUUGUUUUGUAUAUGUUAGUUUUCUUCUUGUCCCUUGUCUAAUGUCUUUGGUGAGGUGAUUUAUAACAUUGAGCAUCACUUUUGGUUCUUGUGAUCACAUGUAGGUUCAAUAGUAUAAAGUGCUAUACAAAAGUUUGACAUUAUUAGCAUAUUGGUUGAUAAUUCAUGAUUUCUUUUUUUGCACCAGAACUAAUCUCAAUUUGUGUUUAUUUUAAUUGAAGCAUAGCCUUAUGUUUCAUUGUAGUCUAAUAGUUUGAUCAUUUUCUUACUUAAAUAAUAUCCAAGUUAUUUUUUUUCUUCCAAACUGUAGUUGUUUUCACCAUGUUCGAUGGCCUUAGAUGAAACAAUGUAUUCUUUAAACAAUUGAAAAUUUUCUAAAAAAAUCAAUUGGUGAGUUUUGGGUUCAAUCAAUUGAGACAUAGGAUAUAUAUUUAUAUAUUUACUCGAUGAUUUCCUUUUCUGCACUAGAACUACCAUCUCAAUUUGUGUUUAUUUUAAUUGAAGCAUAGUUUUAUGUUUCUUUGUAUUCUAAUAGUUUGAUAAUUUUCUUAUUUAAAUAAUAUCUAAGUUUUUGUUUUCUUCCAAACUGUGAUUGUUUUUACCAUGUUCGAUGGCUUUAGCUGAAACAAUGUAUUCUUUAAACAAUUGAAAGUUUUCUAAAAAAAUCAAUUGGUGAGUUUUUGGUUCAAUCAAUUGAGACAUAGGAUAUGUAUUUAUAUAUUUACUCGAUGAUUUCAUUUUCUACACCAGAACUACUAUCUCAAUUUGUGUUUAUUUUAAUUGAAGCAUAGCUUUGUGUUUCAUUGCAGUCUAAUAGUUUGAUCAUCUUGGUGCUCUUAUUUAUAACUAUAUUAUCUUUUCUUUUCUUGCCAAGUACUAUGGACUUAGAAUCUUAUGCAUACUACCUAUACAGUGCAUGUCUUUAUAUGUGUAUAUAUGUAUAUUAAUUUCUCGAUGUUUAUUGUAUAUUUGCUAAUGUGCUAUGAAUGAUUGGUAAUUUGGUUUAUUAAUGUCUGUGAUUUCAUAAACUAACUAGCUUGAGCACUUUUAAAUUGAGACUAACAGGUAUGCAUUCCUUAGUUUAAAGAAUUAAGACUAACUACUUAAGCCAUGAGGCUAUCCAAUUUGAUAAGAAAAAUACAACUUUUAUAUAAAUUAUUUUUGUGAUUGAAAACCACAAUCAUCUUUUUUAUUUAUUUUGCAACCUCAAGUUCUCUAUUUAUUUUAGUUUUGGUUUAACUUUAAUGGUGUUUAUUAUGUAUUGUAGGCUAAAAAUCUACUUGGAUAUUUAAGAGAACCAAGAUAAUUAUAUAAGAGAACCAAGGUAACACGAAAUUCUUCUUCAAGUUGUUGGGUAUUAUUUUCUUUCUUGCUUGUAAGAAUUAUGUACAGUGAGGAUUUGAUGUAUUAUUUAUAUCGAGAAUAAUGAAUUUUUAUUGAGAAUUAUAAUGAAUUUUCAUUGAGACUUACAGUCUUAUGGGGAUUUGAUGUAUUAUUUACAUUUCAAUUGUAUGAAUAAAUGUUGUAUGUAUAUGAAUUUUUAUUAUGAUAAAUAUACUUUUUUUUACAAA